CUUGGGGCCUGGGGAAACAGAGUGCGGGAAGGGGGUCAGGACCUUCCCUCUUUGGACCUAGGGGGCCAGAGCUGAAAGCUCCCCCAGGAAUCGCGCCGGUCAUUUCGUCCGCGGAUUGGCGCCAUCUUUUGUGGACCUCGCUGGUCACAUGACUCAGGCCCUGCCAAUGGGAACGCAGGAGAGAGGCUCGCAAGAGUCAUGUGACCUGAAAUGGACCAAUGAGACCCAGCCCUGGGACUUGCGGCGGAACUGUUGAAGAGAGACAGUCUGCCAGGCGCCGUGGCUCACGCCUGUCAUCUCGACACGGCGGAGGCAGGGGCGGAGGCGGGUGGAUCACGAGCGGAUGGAGUUGGAAGACUGCAGAGACAAAUAUCCCGGGAAUGUGCAGCUGGGGGACCCAAGGCCAAAGAAGAGGAAGAGAGUCCCUGGAGUCAGCCUGGGUGGCUGCUCUGAUACGUCGUGUCACAGUGCUCCACGCCUGUGUGCUCAGAGCACUGUGAAUUAUGAGUUUGGGAGCCCUAGACUUGGCUCUGCUACUCUCUCCCUGGUGGGUUAUCUAUAAUAGUAUUUUAAUCCCUGCAACCUCUCUGAGCCUCAGUUUCCUCAUUUGUAAGAUGGGGAUCAGAACAGUCUUGGGCCUCACAGAGCUGUCUCGACGUUGUAACAUUAUGUAGAAGGAUCAGUGCUUAAUGAACAGAAGACUUCACGA